CGGACGGCGAGCACGUCACGGACUCACGGCGACGGUAGCUUUCGGGCGCUCCCGCCAUGACGGCGACGGGCACCCUCCCUCCCCUUCUUCUACCGCCCCACCCCGCGUGUGUGAGGCCUCAGGGUUUCCGUCGCCGACGUGCGGCGGAGGGCAGUGGGAAUCUAGGGCGGCGUCGGGGUCGAGCGAGCGAUUACUUGCCAAUGGCCGCGAUCUGCUGCCAGGAAGCCAAGUCGCCGCCGGCUACCGCCGCCACGGUGGCCACGGUCUCGGCAUCGGCGGCCGCCGCGGCCGUUGCCUCUUCGGUGAUGGACAGGCGGCGCCGCAGGCUGGAGCUGAAGCGCUUCCGCCUCGCGAGCGACCUCGAGCAGUCGGCCGCGGAGUACGCCGGCGCCCGCAAGCGGCCCAGGAUACCGCGCACGGUGUCUGGCCCGUGCCCCGACGCUGCCUCGGCUUCCGAGAACAUGGAUCGUUGCCCGAGGUACGGGUUUUCCUCGGUGUGCGGCCGUCGUCGCGAGAUGGAGGACGCCGUCUCCAUCAGGCCGGGUUUCUUGCCCGGCUCCGGCAAGUCCCACUUCUUCGGCGUCUUCGAUGGCCACGGCUGCUCACACGUGGCGACGACGUGCCAGGAGCUGAUGCAUGAGGCGGUGGCGGAGGAGCACGAGAAGGCGGGCUCCGGCGAGGGGCCUGUGUGGAAGGAGGUGAUGGAGAGGAGCUUCGCGCGGCUGGACGAACGGGCCGCGAACUGGGCGACCACCCGCAGCAGCGAGGAGCCCGCCUGCCGUUGCGAGCAGAAGAUGCCCUCGCGGUGCGACCACGUGGGAUCCACCGCCGUCGUGGCCGUCGUCAGCCCGAUCCAGAUCGUCGUGGCCAACGCCGGCGACUCCCGUGCCGUCCUUUCCCGCGCUGGCGUCCCCGUUGCCCUCUCCGUUGACCACAAGCCUGAUCGGCCGGACGAGCUGGAGCGCAUCCAGGCGGCGGGCGGGCGCGUCAUCUACUGGGACGGCGCCCGGGUGCUCGGCGUCCUCGCCAUGUCCCGAGCCAUAGGGGAUGGCUACCUGAAGCCGUUCGUGACGGCGGAGCCGGAGGUGACCGUGACGGAGCGCAGCGACGCCGACGAGUGCCUGAUCCUGGCCAGCGACGGGCUGUGGGACGUGGUGACCAACGAGAUGGCGUGCGACGUGGCCAGGGCGUGCUUCCGGAGCAACGGCCGUCCAGAGCCGGCCACAGCUCAGGCGCAGGCGAGCGGCGAGGCCAAGGCGAGCGAGGGGGUGAGCAAGGCGGAGUCCGACCGGGCGUGCUCCGACGCGGCCAUGCUGCUGGCGAAGCUGGCGCUGGCGCGGGGGAGCUCCGACAACGUGAGCGUCGUGGUCGUGGAUCUGCGCCGGGGAUCGUGAUUCUUGGAGCAGAAUUCGUGCUCCAUGAUUGCUUCUCGUUAUCCUAUUUUUUUAAUCCAUGCUAAUUUCUUCCCUCGUUUCUAAAUUUACAUUUGCUGCCUCGAUGUAGUAGUAUAGAUCUAGUAGUACUAGUUUAUAAUUCUACCCGCCAAAAUGAAGUUGAACAGAUAAGCUCAGCUGUUUCAACUGCAUCGUACGUACACGAAGAACUCCCUCCACUCCCUCC
rnacentral:rRNA from 1 species